rnacentral:lncRNA from 1 species
AAAAUACCUCCCGGGGCUGGGGGCGGGCGGGGGCACGCCUCUCUGAAGGGCAGCCUACCGUGACCAAUAGCAGGCGGGGCUUUGGUGGGGCGGGAUUCCCAGCGGCCAAUCCGGAGGCGUGUAGGUGAAGGCCGGAGGAGGGAGGCAGAGAACGAGAAGGGGGCGGCCCGGGAGCCUGGGAGGUCCGGCCGCUCGGGUGCGCGCUGUGCGCGGCCUCCAUUUUGGAGUCGGGCAGCUGCGACGGAGGCCGGGUCCGGCCAGGGAAAGGAAGGAGCCAGUCAGUUUGUGCUUCAAGAAGUCUGAAUUAUUCUACCUACUAGUCCACCGGAGAGUGCUCCUGCUAAGGCUACCCCAGUGACAUCAUAUGGUGGAGUGCAAGGCUCACAAUUUAGACUUUAUCUCUUUCAGUGGAUUCKGUGAACUGCAUCCUUCUUGAAGGUUUUUAUCUUUCCCCUCAGACCCCUUAACCUAUGUGUCUUUCUCUUCAGGUAAUUUUUCUCAGUCUCUUCAAUCCUUAAAAGCCCAGGUUCUGAUCUUCAGUUUUAGGUGGCUCAC